GAUGAACGCUGGCGGCGUGCCUAAUACAUGCAAGUCGAGCGAACGGACGAGAAGCUUGCUUCUCUGAUGUUAGCGGCGGACGGGUGAGUAACACGUGGAUAACCUACCUAUAAGACUGGGAUAACUUCGGGAAACCGGAGCUAAUACCGGAUAAUAUUUUGAACCGCAUGGUUCAAAAGUGAAAGACGGUCUUGCUGUCACUUAUAGAUGGAUCCGCGCUGCAUUAGCUGGUUGGUAAGGUAACGGCUUACCAAGGCGACGAUGCAUAGCCGACCGGAGAGGGUGAUCGGCCACACUGGAACUGAGACACGGUCCAGACUCCUACGGGAGGCAGCAGUAGGGAAUCUUCCGCAAUGGGCGAAAGCCUGACGGAGCAACGCCGCGUGAGUGAUGACGGUCUUCGGAUCGUAAAACUCUGUUAUUAGGGAAGAACAUAUGUGUAAGUAACUGUGCACAUCUUGACGGUACCUAAUCAGAAAGCCACGGCUAACUACGUG
rnacentral:rRNA from 1 species